GAUGAACGCUGGCGGCGUGCCUAACACAUGCAAGUCGAGCGGACAUGUUGAUGAAACCUAGUGAUUUAACAUGUUAGCGGCGGAUGGGUGAGUAACACGUGGGUAACCUGCCCUGCACUGGGGGAUAACAGUUGGAAACGACUGUUAAUACCGCAUAUGCGCACGCUGAUGCAUGUCAGAGGGCGGAAAGAUUUAUCGGUGCAGGAUGGGCCCGCGUCGGAUUAACUUGUUGGCGGGGUAACGGCCCACCAAGGUGAUGAUCCGUAGCCGACCUGAGAGGGUGACCGGCCACAUUGGGACUGAGACACGGCCCAAACUCC
rnacentral:rRNA from 1 species